UUUUUUCUUUUUAAGAAUUAUUUUAUUUAUUUGAGAGAGAGAGAGAGAGCGCACAUACAAGUGGGGAGAGAGAAAAGGAGAGGGAGAAAGAGAAUCCUUAAGCUGACUACCUCCUAGGCAUGGAGCCUGAUGUGGAGCUCAAUCCCAGGACAUAAGAUCAUGACCUGAGCCAAAAUCAAGAGUUGACUGCUUAAUCAACUGAGCUACCGAGGUGCCCCAAGAACCUGGCAUUUCUUAAUCUUUGACACUGAAAAUAUUCUAUUGUUUUCAAAGCUCAAUAAGACCUUCUUCCAAAACAUUUCAAAAGUUGGUUCUACACUUUACAUAAUUUACUAAUUUGUAUGUGACGCUUUUAUAGUUUGCAGAUUUUCAAAUAUUUUUCUACAACUAUCCAUGACAGAAGGAUGUCCAUGAAUGGAAUACCCUCCCGUGCAUAGCACCAGCAACAUGCGUCGUACAUCAGAGACAGACUAUGGCUUCCCAUACUUCACAGUGCUGUACUUAAAUAACUACAUGUAAUUUCACACUAUUAUAGGAUUGACCAUGAAUCUACUCCAAUUUAAUUUUGAAAAGAAAUUACUCACAGACUAUAUUAUUUUGACCAUUACUAGAAACAUGUUACUUGCUCCAAACCUCUUAACUAAUAGCAAUAUAUGUGACAUGGCAUUACUUUUGGACUGCUGGAGAAUCACUAUUCUACACUAUUUCCUUAUUUCAUGAAAAUUGUCUAACUUAUCUGCAUAAUGCUGUUCAUAAUGUUCUCUUAUCCUCUUAAUGUCUGUGGGAUCUAUUCUGCCUUUCAUUCCUAUCAUUGAAAAUUUAUGUCAUCUCCUUCUUUCUUUGAUUAGUCUGGCUAAUAAUAUUGUCCUUGAUCAAUUUCUUUUUUUUUUUUAACAGCUCUUGGUUUCAUUGAUUUAUCUAUUAUUUAUUUGUUUGUUCACUGAUUUUUACUCUUAUUUUUAUUUUUUCCUUCUUUCUCCUCAUGCUGAAUUUCAUUUGUUCUUUUUCUAGCUUUUUAAGAUUGAAACUUACAUAGUUACUUUUAGGUCUUUCUACAUUCUGACUACAAGCAUUUGCAUCCUCUAAAUUCCUUCUAAUCACUUCUUUAUCUGCAUCCUACAAAUUUUGAUAUGUUGCGUUUUCAUUAUCAUUCACUUCCAAAGUAAAUUUUCCCAUGGGAAAGUUAGGCCCAUGGAUUAUUUAGAAUGUGUUGUUCAGUUAUCAAAUAUUUAGGGAUUCACAGGUAUCUGUUAUUUAUUUUUAGUUGAUUUCCACAGUAGUAAGAGAAUAUAGUUUGCAUGACUGUAAUUCUUUUAAGUUUAUGAGACUAGCUUUGUGGCCCGGACUGUAGUCUAUCCUGGUGAAUGUUCCAUAUGUUCUUGAAAAGAAUAUAUCCUACCGUUGUUGGGUGGAGUUCUUUAUAAAUGUCAAUUAGGUCAAAUGUUUAUAUGGUUAUUUCAAGCCAUCCAUACUCUACUGAUUUUCUAUCUACCUGUUCUGUCAAUUACUAGGAAUGUUGAAAUCCUCAAAUAUAAUUGUAGAUGCGUCUAUUUCUCCUUUUAAAGCUCUUAGGUUUUUUUUUUUUUUAGCUUAUUUUGAAGCUCUGUUCCUGGGUAUAUAAACAUGUAGGAUUGUUACAUAUGCUUGAUGAAGUUUUAUCAUUAUGAAAUGUGCCUCUUUAUCCCUACUAAUAUUCCUUACUCUGAAGUCUACUUUGUAUGAUGUUAAUAUUGCCAAUGGAGCUCUUUUUAUCAGAUUUAUUAAGAUAUAAUUUACAUACAAUAAAAUUCACCAAUUUUAAGUGUAGAAAUUGAUAAGUUCUGAGAAUAUAUGGGGUUGUGUAAUCAUCACUGUUAUGAUGUAGAACAUUUGCAUCACUCCAACAAGUUACCUUCUGUCCCUUUGUGGUCAGUCUCUUCCCUCCACUCCUGACAUCUGAUAUGCUUUCUUACUCUAUAGUUUAUCCUUUUUUCAAAAUAUUAUAUAAAUGGGAUCACAACAUGUAGCAUUCGGUGUGUGGGCUUCUUUGAUUUAGCAAAACGCAUUUUCAUCCACUGUUGUUAGUUUGUUCUUUGUUAUUCCUUAGUAGCGUUCCAUUGUGUGGACAGACCACAUUUUGUUUACCCCUUGCCAGCAGAAGAGCAGUUGGGUUUCUUUCAAUUUGGGGCCAUUCAAAUUUGGGUGCAUUUUUUAAAAAUGGAAAUGUCUCUUUAUUUGACUUAGAUAAAUAUCUAGGUUUUCUACUGCUAGACCACGGUAAGAACAGUAUCUGAAACCGAGGAAUGGUGGUCUUAAGCUAUCUUUCUUUACUCAGCCCACUUUUAAUUAAUGCUAGAAUCAGUCCCCAAAGUUAGAAAAUCAUGACUUCAUAACGAACACUCUAACAGGUAAAAGCAGUACACCACAAAACCUUGAUACCUAUAGGCAGACAUUUUAAGCCCUUAAGGUCCAAUAGAGGCCACCUGUAGCCAGAAAAAAGAAUGUCAAGAAAAUUCACAGCUUAAGUUCUGAUCUUGAUUCUACUCUGAGAAUGUCAAAGUUUUUCAAGAUUACAAGAAGUAAGUCUUCGAAAAGGUGAACACGUGAAACUAUUAACCCUGUUUAGAAAUUCAUGUAUGCAACUGAAAUAUACCCAAGACAUUCAAACAUUAUAUUUAACUGGUAGACGUUACUUUUCAAAGACACAAAGAGCUUUCCCUACACACCCAAAUAAUCACUGUGAAUAUAAUCUGGGCCUUGACUGAUUGAUGGCUUUGUUCAUUAUUCGCGCUUGCGGCCGACCUCUGC
rnacentral:lncRNA from 1 species